GACGAACGCUGGCGGCGUGCUUAACACAUGCAAGUCGAACGGAAAGGCCCUGCUUUUGUGGGGUGCUCGAGUGGCGAACGGGUGAGUAACACGUGAGUAACCUGCCCUUGACUUUGGGAUAACUUCAGGGAACUGGGGCUCAUACCGGAUAGGAGCUCCUGCUGCAUGGUGGGGGUUGGAAAGUUCCGGCGGUUGGGGAUGGACUCGCGGCUUAUCAGCUUGUUGGUGGGGUAGUGGCUUACCAAGGCUUUGACGGGUAGCCGGCCUGAGAGGGUGACCGGCCACAUUGGGACUGAGAUACGGCCCAGACGCCUACGGGAGGCAGCAGUGGGGAAUAUUGCACAACGGGCGGAAGCGUGAUGCAGCAACCCCGCGUGCGGGAUGACGGCCUUCGGGUUGUAAACCGCUUUCGCCUGUGACGAAGCGUGAGUGACGGUAAUGGGUAAAGAAGCACCGGCUAACUACGUG
rnacentral:rRNA from 1 species